rnacentral:rRNA from 1 species
AGAUUGAACGCUGGCGGCAGGCCUAACACAUGCAAGUCGAGCGGUAGAGAGGUGCUUGCAUCUCUUGAGAGCGGCGGACGGGUGAGUAAUGCCUAGGAAUCUGCCUAGUGGUGGGGGAUAACGUUCGGAAACGGACGCUAAUACCGCAUACGUCCUACGGGAGAAAGCGGGGGACCUUCGGGCCUCGCGCCAUUAGAUGAGCCCAGGUCGGAUUAGCUAGUUGGUGAGGUAAUGGCUCACCAAGGCGACGAUCCGUAACUGGUCUGAGAGGAUGAUCAGUCACACUGGAACUGAGACACGGUCCAGACUCCUACGGGAGGCAGCAGUGGGGAAUAUUGGACAAUGGGCGAAAGCCUGAUCCAGCCAUCGCCGCGUGUGUGAAGAAGGUCUUCGGAUUAGUAAAGCUAACUUUAA